rnacentral:rRNA from 1 species
UACGGAGGAUCCGAGCGUUAUCCGGAUUUAUUGGGUUUAAAGGGUGCGUAGGCGGACUAGUAAGUCAGUGGUGAAAUCCUGCAGCUUAACUGUAGAAUUGCCGUUGAUACUGUUAGUCUUGAGUACAUUUGAGGUAGGCGGAAUGUGGUGUGUAGCGGUGAAAUGCAUAGAUAUACCACAGAACACCGAUUGCGAAGGCAGCUUACUAAACUGUAACUGACGCUGAGGCACGAAAGCGUGGGUAUCAAACAGGAUUAGAUA